AGAUUCCCUACGCUAUCAUUAAGACGAGGGAUGCUGCUGCUGCUGCUGCGCAACGUUUGCGCAGAUCCUCGUUUUACGAAACGCCGAAUUCCGAGACGAAAGUAAUCCUGACUCUUCGAUCUCCGAUCUCUCAUCUCCGGGGCGAAGGAAUGCCGAUUUCUCAGUAUGAAACGAGCUCUCGCUGGCUGUAGUGAGAAUACCCUGAGUGAACUGGAUCUAGUAGAUAUACGAAAUACGGAAACCGAGUGAAAGAACGACGUGCAAGAAGUAGACACGUGGAAGAAAUCAAGGAAUCGCCAAGAAAUUCUCUAAGACAUAUUUGCGAUUCUUCCACGAACCGGAUAAAUCGUGAAG
rnacentral:lncRNA from 1 species